rnacentral:rRNA from 1 species
UAGGGAAUCUUCGGCAAUGGGGGGAACCCUGACCGAGCAACGCCGCGUGAGUGAAGAAGGUUUUCGGAUCGUAAAGCUCUGUUGUUAAGGAAGAACGAGUGUGAGAAUGGAAAGUUCAUACUGUGACGGUACUUAACCAGAAAGGGACGGCUAACUACGUGCCAGCAGCCGCGGUAAUACGUAUGUCCCGAGCGUUGUCCGGAUUUAUUGGGCGUAAAGCGCGCGCAGGCGGUUAGAAAAGUCUGAAGUGAAAGGCAGUGGCUCAACCAUUGUAGGCUUUGGAAACUGAUUAACUUAAGUGCAGAAGGGGAGAGUAGAAAUCCAUGUGUAGCGGUAAAAUGCGUAGAUAUAUGGAGGAACACCGGUGGCGAAAGCGGCUCUCUGGUCUGUAACUGACGCUGAGGCUCGAAAGCGUGGGGAGCGAACAGG